UUGUCCAGCUGCAAAGGGAAGCAUCAAGCAAACCUCUGGGAUUGACACAUGAUAUAUUCCCCAGAGUUAUGCCUCAUUUCAUUACUGGAUCAACAAAUACGGAAAGAUUCAUCUCAGCUGGAAUUUCGAGCUCAACUCGAAAUCGCAGAACCAGAACUGGUGAAGAGGUGCUGAGAAACAGUGAAAAAGCUUUUCCAAAGAGGGAGCCUACGUAUUUCUUUGAGAAGAUGUUAGGCGACGGGCUUGCUUCAAACCGAGAGAAAUGGUCGAGGCAAAGCUAGCCAAUUCCUUUCAUGGGGAGCUUAAAGAGAUGACUCCGGCGAUCAUUGCUGGUGUCGAAACGAUGCUAGAGAAAUGGAAAGGUAAAGAAGGAGAAGAGAGAUCGAAGUGUACCAGGAGUUCAGAUUAUUUGCUUCAGAGUAAUAUCCAGAACAGCUUUUGGUAGCAGCUAUUUGGAAGGGGAGAAGAUUUUUGACAUA